CCCGCAGACAGACUUAGAAAGAAAGAAAGAAAGACAGGAAAGAAAAGGAAAGAGGGAAUAA
rnacentral:ribozyme from 11 species